rnacentral:rRNA from 1 species
GAAGGUUGGGUAACACUAACUGGAGGACCGAACCGACUAAUGUUGAAAAAUUAGCGGAUGACCUGUGGCUGGGGGUGAAAGGCCAAUCAAACCGGGAGAUAGCUGGUUCUCCCCGAAAGCUAUUUAGGUAGCGCCUCGUGAAUUCAUCUCCGGGGGUAGAGCACUGUUUCGGCUAGGGGGCCAUCCCGGCUUACCAACCCGAUGCAAACUGCGAAUACCGGAGAAUGUUAUCACGGGAGACACACGGCGGGUGCUAACGUCCGUCGUGAAGAGGGAAACAACCCAGACCGCCAGCUAAGGUCCCAAAGUCAUGGUUAAGUGGGAAACGAUGUGGGAAGGCCCAGACAGCCAGGAUGUUGGCUUAGAAGCAGCCAUCAUUUAAAGAAAGCGUAAUAGCUCACUGGUCGAGUCGGCCUGCGCGGAAGAUGUAACGGGGCUAAACCAUGCACCGAAGCUGCGGCAGCGACACUGUGUGUUGUUGGGUAGGGGAGCGUUCUGUAAGCCUGUGAAGGUGUGUCGUGAGGCAUGCUGGAGGUAUCAGAAGUGCGAAUGCUGACAUAAGUAACGAUAAAGCGGGUGAAAAGCCCGCUCGCCGGAAGACCAAGGGUUCCUGUCCAACGUUAAUCGGGGCAGGGUGAGUCGACCCCUAAGGCGAGGCCGAAAGGCGUAGUCGAUGGGAAACGGGUUAAUAUUCCCGUACUUGGUGUUACUGCGAAGGGGGGACGGAGAAGGCUAUGUUGGCCGGGCGACGGUUGUCCCGGUUUAAGCGUGUAGGUGUGUGUUCCAGGUAAAUCCGGUUCACUUUAACACUGAGGCGUGACGACGAGGCACUACGGUGCUGAAGCAACAAAUGCCCUGCUUCCAGGAAAAGCCUCUAAGCAUCAGGUAACAUCAAAUCGUACCCCAAACCGACACAGGUGGUCAGGUAGAGAAUACCAAGGCGCUUGAGAGAACUCGGGUGAAGGAACUAGGCAAAAUGGUGCCGUAACUUCGGGAGAAGGCACGCUGACACGUAGGUGAAGUGAUUUACUCAUGGAGCUGAAGUCAGUCGAAGAUACCAGCUGGCUGCAACUGUUUAUUAAAAACACAGCACUGUGCAAACACGAAAGUGGACGUAUACGGUGUGACGCCUGCCCGGUGCCGGAAGGUUAAUUGAUGGGGUCAGCGCAAGCGAAGCUCCUGAUCGAAGCCCCGGUAAACGGCGGCCGUAACUAUAACGGUCCUAAGGUAGCGAAAUUCCUUGUCGGGUAAGUUCCGACCUGCACGAAUGGCGUAAUGAUGGCCAGGCUGUCUCCACCCGAGACUCAGUGAAAUUGAACUCGCUGUGAAGAUGCAGUGUACCCGCGGCAAGACGGAAAGACCCCGUGAACCUUUACUAUAGCUUGACACUGAACAUUGAGCCUUGAUGUGUAGGAUAGGUGGGAGGCUUUGAAGUGUGGACGCCAGUCUGCAUGGAGCCGACCUUGAAAUACCACCCUUUAAUGUUUGAUGUUCUAACGUGGACCCGUUACCCGGGUUGCGGACAGUGUCUGGUGGGUAGUUUGACUGGGGCGGUCUCCUCCUAAAGAGUAACGGAGGAGCACGAAGGUUGGCUAAUCCUGGUCGGACAUCAGGAGGUUAGUGCAAUGGCAUAAGCCAGCUUGACUGCGAGCGUGACGGCGCGAGCAGGUGCGAAAGCAGGUCAUAGUGAUCCGGUGGUUCUGAAUGGAAGGGCCAUCGCUCAACGGAUAAAAGGUACUCCGGGGAUAACAGGCUGAUACCGCCCAAGAGUUCAUAUCGACGGCGGUGUUUGGCACCUCGAUGUCGGCUCAUCACAUCCUGGGGCUGAAGUAGGUCCCAAGGGUAUGGCUGUUCGCCAUUUAAAGUGGUACGCGAGCUGGGUUUAGAACGUCGUGAGACAGUUCGGUCCCUAUCUGCCGUGGGCGCUGGAGAACUGAGGGGGGCUGCUCCUAGUACGAGAGGACCGGAGUGGACGCAUCACUGGUGUUCGGGUUGUCAUGCCAAUGGCACUGCCCGGUAGCUAAAUGCGGAAGAGAUAAGUGCUGAAAGCAUCUAAGCACGAAACUUGCCCCGA